GGAAGAGAGAAGGGAAAUGAAAUGUGGAAGUGGAAGAUCUCCAAUAUGACUCCACGGCUUCUUCACUAUCAGACACGAUCAGGAGAAAAGAGAGACGAUCCUCAGAGUGUGUGGGAGGGGUCAGAGAAGUGUGAUACAUACGGCGUGGAGUGAAAUAUACAUAAGGCUUCAGCAUCAAUAUGUCUGGGUGGAAUGCAGAGUGGCAACAGCUGCACAAAGGAAGUGGGGAUAACUGUGAGGAGGAGGUGGAGGAGGAGGAGGAGGAGGAGGUGAGGAGGAGGUAUCAUCGAACAGACGAAGACAGAGGAAAUAAAUCAAUGUGAGCGCUGAAGGAUUCCUGAGGCUGGUCGGUGUGCGAGCGCCGGUCUGUCUUAUUGAUUCAGGAAUAUGUCAUCACAUCAUGUUCAGAAGCUGUUUAGCAGCUAUCAGACCCAGACAGAGCUCAUCUAUUAUUAAUGUUCUGAUCCGGUUCAUUAAACAUGGAGAGACUCCAGAACACAGGAGGUGAACCUCAGCGCCGACCGCAGGAGGACUUCACCUCCUCCUCCAACAACGACUGAGAGAAACAGAGGAGAGCAGAGGUCUGAGUCUGCUGCAGAUUUAAGAUAAAAACACAGAUUUAGAUUUUUAUAACUGAGUCAUCAGGACAAAAGGAGGAUGUCAGUGAUGAAGGAGCUGGACGGAGAGGACCUGACAGAAAACCUAACCUAAUCAGACUGGAUUAAAUAAAUUAAACUGAAACUAAAAUUAAAGAUUAAAAAGAUUUUUACAUGUAAAGACAGGAUCAGAAUUCCUCUGUCAGUUUCCGAUCACACUCAUGGACCUGAACCUCGGUCUCCGGUCAGAUGAGGAGACGUCACUCUGACUUUAAUAAUCCAGACUUCUCAUGUUUUAAUACCAGACUAUUGAUUCAGUCUGCUCACAGAAAUAACAGCGGCGUGUAAGAGGAGCGGCGAGGAAGAGGAUGAGGUCACCCACCUCCUCCUCCUCCUCCUCCUCUGUUCAACCUUUUCUUCACAAACUGGAUCACAUCCUAGUCCUGAUCAUCUGUAGAGUCCUUCCACCAAACACAAUCAGAACCUCCUCAAACAAUUUAACUCUGCAUUAGAACUACACAGACGACAAGCCCUGUGAUUGGUCGGCUUAAUGGCGAACACUUUUGGUAUCGCCAUGGUUUCCUGUGAACAAACAUGAGGGGAGGAUAGUGAGACCGGACUCCGGAGAUAUGAUGAUCACAGUUUCAGUGAAAUGUCUCAAGACCUCCAUGAGAGUCUUAGAGUAAGACCAGAACCUGGUCUGCUCACUAAAGAGGGACUGAAUGGAUUUGUAGGUUCUGGAGCGAGUUGAAAGGUCAGAAAUGCAUCAUGGGUAAGUCCAGGGUCGCAGAGACAUAAGACUCGCCAGUCCACUUCCUGAUAUUGUAGAUCUUCUCCAUGAAGAGGUGAACUUUCUGAACAUCAUCCAGUCCUUAACGCUGGUUCACGGUCUGCCAGUUCUGACCCUGACCCUGGCUCCAUCAGGACCAAAUGAGGUCCAUUUGAACCCUAUCUUUGCAUGUCUAUGGUUCUGUGUUCAACUCUCUUAGUGAUAAAACCAGAACUUUUCCUGAACCACGAUAAAACCAAGAUGGACCCUGAUCUGUUGGUUCUGGACAGUCAGAGUCAGCUGGAAUCAUAAAAACAUCAUCACCUGCUCCUAUCUUCUCAAUAAUCUCCCUAAACUGUCAAUAACUGAAGGUGUGGAGGUCUCUCUGGACUCUCAGAGUUUACGUCACCUGAUGAAGUUCUUCAGAGAGGAACUUCAGGAUUCAGACGAAUCUUUGCGUCUUAAAAACCUUCCUGUGAUCUGACAGACGCUCCUGUCUGAAUCUGUUUUUCUGUUUUGGACAGACACUCGUCAUCCAAACGACAGCCUGGCGUGUUGAGACGGCGACAACUAACCCACCUGUUGUCUCCCAACUGUUGGUCGUCUGCUGAGAGACGCCAGGAGACAACAAACAGAUCAGAAAGGACAUCAGGACCGUUUUCUUUUUGAGGAUUUAAUAAAGUCGUUUGUCGAAGAAACUGUGACGUAAACUUGGACAUUUAAGAGAAUCCUCGUAACUUCAUUAAUGUCAAAAAUCUACAGAUAUUUUCUUUUAUUUCUCUUGUGGUUUUUUUACUUUACGCUGCAGAUUUUAAAACAGAAAGAUAAAAUUAGGAUUAUUUUAAUCCCUCCUGCUGCAGGAGUCAGAAAACUUUCACAAGUUAUUUCUAUCUGAAGUCCAAAAGUCAAGAGGACUCGGUUUGGUACCGGACCACCUCUGCUGGUACCCAGAAUGACCCAGAAUGACCUUUUGAUGUUACCUAGGAUUUCCACCACAUCCAGAACGGCUCCGAUCCAGAACAGCAGCGAUUUUCGCCAUCCGCCAAUUCCUACCAGAUCUGUUUAUGAGGCGAAUUUCAUGGCGGAUUGCAGACAGUGGGAAUCACGAGAACUCACAAAAAUCUGCAGAUUCACGUUCAAUCUCACGAUAACAAGUUGUCUCUAUAAAGACAGACACAUAGACAUAUAAGCAGUAGAUUGUGUCCUUCCAGAGGAGUAAAUCUACUUCUAGACUUCUAGAAUCAGCAUCUCCUCAUCCAUGGUGUCAUCGGGGUGAAAUGACGUCUAAAAACCUUUCACUUGUUCGUCUCCGCCCGUUUGCAUGGUGUGAAUAAAGAAAAAAUAGAACUCUUGUGAUCAGCUGAGGAGUCCGGCGAUCCGCAGAGGAACGGAAAGAAGUCGGUGUAAAUUGACACGUUAACUUGAAUGGUUACGAUCAGCUACGAUCGGAGGAUACGACCUUUUAGGAGACGAUCAGGAUGAAGGUGGAGAUUCAGGGUCAGACUUCUUACUUAUCCAGAAACUUCUGUCAGCGUGAGCUCUGAUCAGUGUCAAACUCUGAGGUCGAUAUUUCUGUAGGAAACUCUUCAAACAUGGCGAUGAAGAUGGCGUGAAGCGAACAUGUUUAGAUGACAGCUGAGAGGGGGGGGGUCUCUGCAGGAGUACAGACCGGGUCUGAGGACCUGGGUCUCCAUAAAAACCUUGUCUGAGGUUUGGAUUGGUCUGUUGAGUCUAUGAUGGUCAAUAAACUUAAAGACAAAUAUGGACGUCUCAUCGUGGUCUUUCCUGUCAAACACCACACCGCUCGCCGCUCUGAAUCUUCCUCACAUGACGUUCCUGAUGCUCACUUUCAUCUCCUGUUCGUCUUCACGGACGCCUAAAUGUUCCCCUGAGGCGUGUAACGACCCCGACAUCAACCCUCGCUCCUGAUGUAAAAAGCCUGUCUCUUCUGAGCAUGUGCACACACACACACACACAAACACACACACACACACACACACACGCACGCCAUUGUGCCGGGAAAAGAGCGCCUCUGACAGCUCCAUUAUGACCCCCACGCCGGCCAAUUAUCUGUUUUAGCGUGAUUGUCUGUGGGCCUCUGAUCCUCUCAUCCCUCCUGGUGUCACCGUGGAUCUGCGCUCAGGUGUAACGUUUCCACCCGGGAACACGAACGCCGCUUUAAAGUUCCACUUGAAUCACUUUACAGACAGAAAAGGAGCUGCUUCCUGUUUGGCUCCUGAUGAAUCACCGAUCGUUCCUCCUCUUUAUCUCCGACCUGCUGCCGAACCACGCUGGAACUUUACGGAGUCUGAAUCACGCUGAUUACGAGCGGCAGGUGGCGAUUAAAAAGGAGCGAGGAAGAAGAAGAAGAAGAAGAAGGGGAGAGGAAGGGGGGCAGAAGGUAGAAAGGAAAAAAAGAGGAGAAGAGAGAGAGAGAGAGAGAGAGAGAGAGAGAGAGAGAGAGAGAGAGAGAGAGAGAGAGAGAGAGAGAGAGAGAGAGAGAGAGAGAGAGAGAGAGGAAGAGAGCGAGAGAGAGGGAGAGAGAGAGAGAGAGGGGGAGAGAGAGAGAGAGAGAGAGAGAGAGAGAGAGAGAGAGAGAGAGAGGGAGAGAGGGAGAGAGAGAGAGAGAGAGGGAGAGAGAGAGACAGAGAGAGAGAGAGAGAGAGAGAGAGAGAGAGAGAGAGAGAGAGAGAGAGAGAGAGAGAGAGAGAGGGGGAGAGAGAGAGAGAGAGAGAGAGAGAGAGAGAGAGAGAGAGAGAGAGAGAGAGAGAGAGAGAGAGAGAGAGAGAGAGAGAGAGAGAGAGGGAGAGUGAGAGAGGGAGAGAGAGAGAGAGAGAGAGAGAGAGGGGAGAGAGAGAGAGAGAGAGAGAGAGAGAGGGAGAGAGAGAGAGAGAGAGAGGAGAGAGGGAGAGUGAGAGAGGGGGAGAGAGAGAGAGAGACGGAG
rnacentral:lncRNA from 1 species